rnacentral:pre_miRNA from 1 species
UGUUAAAAUAUUCAUCCGUUUGUACUGUUAUAAAAAUUGACAUAAUUGAAGAAAUAACCAAACAAUGACAUGUGACGUGCCACAUGUACCUCAUGCUGAUAUACAUGAACCAGUUUUUAACAUUAGAAAUGAAUGGUUUUCUUAACA